UCCGUGUUAACCACGGCAGUCUGCGGUGAAAAGUAACACCACAUAAGGGUUGCGCUCGUUACCCCACUGAAGGGAACAGCUCACGCCACGAGCUGACGACAACCGUGCAGCACCUGUUCAGCACCCUCGAAGGCUACUAAUGUUUCCAAAAGUAUGCAGCUGAAUUUCUAACCUUGGUAAGGUUCCUCGCUUAUCAUCGAAUUAAACCACACGCUCCACCGCUUGUGCGGGCCCCCGUCUAUUCCUUUGAGUUUUAGCCUUGCGGCCGUACUACCCAGGUGGCCAACUUAACGCGUUAGCUACGACACUGAGAGGGUCGAUACUCCCAAUGCCUAGUUGGCAUCGUUUACGGCGUGGACUA
rnacentral:misc_RNA from 1 species